rnacentral:rRNA from 1 species
CCUACGGGAGGCAGCAGUGGGGAAUAUUGGGCAAUGGGCGCAAGUCUGACCCAGCAAUGCCGCGUGAAGGAAGAAGGCUCUCGGGUUGUAAAACUCUUUUAUUCGGGACGAAACAAAUGACGGUACCGACUGAAUAAGCUACGGCUAACUACGGGACAGCAGCCGCGGUAAUACGUAGGUGGCAAGCGUUAUCCGGAUUUAAUGGGUGUAAAGGGUGUUUAGGCGGGAGGGCAAGUCAGACGUGAAAUUCCAGGGCUCAACCCUGGAACUGCGUUUGAAACUGUUCUUCGAGAGAAAUGGAGAGGCAGGCGGAAUGUAGUGUGUAGCGGUGAAAUGCGUAGAUAUAC